UACGUAGGGUCCGAGCGUUGUCCGGAAUUAUUGGGCGUAAAGAGCUCGUAGGCGGUUUGUCGCGUCUGCUGUGAAAUCCCGAGGCUCAACCUCGGGCCUGCAGUGGGUACGGGCAGACUGGAGUGCGGUAGGGGAGAAUGGAAUUCCUGGUGUAGCGGUGGAAUGCGCAGAUAUCAGGAGGAACACCGGUGGCGAAGGCGGAUCUCUGGGCCUUACCUGACGCUCAGGCGCGAAAGCUAGGGGAGCGAACAGG
rnacentral:rRNA from 1 species